GACGAACGCUGGCGGCGUGCUUAACACAUGCAAGUCGAACGGAAAGGCUCCACCUUUCUGGGGUGCUCGAGUGGCGAACGGGUGAGUAACACGUGGGUAAUCUGCCCUUCACUCUGGGAUAAGUCUGGGAAACUGGGUCUAAUACUGGAUAUGACCUUUCUCUGCAUGGGGUUGGGUGGAAAGUUUUUCGGUGUAGGAUGAGCCCGCGGCCUAUCAGCUUGUUGGUGGGGUGAUGGCCUACCAAGGCGACGACGGGUAGCCGGCCUGAGAGGGUGACCGGCCACAUUGGGACUGAGAUACGGCCCAGACUCCUACGGGAGGCAGCAGUGGGGAAUAUUGCACAAUGGGCGGAAGCCUGAUGCAGCGACGCCGCGUGAGGGAUGACGGCCUUCGGGUUGUAAACCGCUUUCAGCAGGGACGAAGCGUAAGUGACGGUAAUUGGUGAAGAAGCACCGGCUAACUAUGUG
rnacentral:rRNA from 1 species